rnacentral:rRNA from 1 species
GACGAACGCUGGCGGCGUGCCUAACACAUGCAAGUGGAGCGACGAACCAGGGCUUGCCCUGGUGCAAAGCCGCGAACGGGUGAGUAACACGUGGGUAACCUGCCCCGAUGACCGGGACAACCCGAGGAAACUCGGGCUAAUACCGGAUGUGAUGUCCACACCUAAGUGUGUCCAUCAAAGGGAGCUUCGGCCUCCACAUUGGGAUGGGCCCGCGGCCCAUUAGCUAGUUGGUGGGGUAAAGGCCACCAAGGCAACGAUGGGUAGCUGGUCUGAGAGGACGAUCAGCCACACUGGGACUGAGACACGGCCCAGACUCCUACGGGAGGCAGCAGUGGGGAAUCUUGCGCAAUGCGCGAAAGCGUGACGCAGCAACGCCGCGUGAGGGAAGACGGCCU